UACAUAUAAUUUAUCUGGAAUUAAUAUAUAUAUAUAUAUAUUUCAUCUGAGAUACAAAACAACUUAAUGAUUUUUUUUAAAUAUGUGUAGGUUAUUUGCAAAAUAAACGAAAAUGAAUGAAAUUCAUAGGAAAAUGAGUUUGAAGUUUUGCUUCAUUGAAGAAGAUUCUUCAGGAACCAGUGUCCCACAGCUGGAUAAAGCAGUGACCUACGAUCCGGUUUAUAGUUUCUCAUACACCGAGGAGUCAUAUUCCUCAAGAGAAAAAUAUCCGCGUGUUCGCUGGUACAGAGUAACAGAACUUACAGUGGAGGUGGCCGAGGAUCCUGAGUAUAG